UCAAGUAAAUAAAGCGCGUAUGGUGGAUGCCUUGGCAGUAAGAGGCGAUAAAGGACGUAGUAGCUUGCGAUAAGCUUCGGGAAGCUGGCAAACAAGCAAUGAUCCGGAGAUUUCCGAAUGGGAAAACCCAACCUUUUGAGGUUAUUAUGUGCUAAAUUCAUAGGUACAUAAAGCGAACCUGGAGAACUGAAACAUCUAAGUACCCAGAGGAAAAAAAAUCAACCGAGAUUCCGUUAGUAGCGGCGAGCGAAAGCGGAACAGCCCAGUUACUAAAUCAUUAUUAGUUUUAGCAGAAUGUUCUGGAAAGUUCAGCCAUAGUAGGUGAUAGCCCCGUAUGUAAAAAGGCUAAUAAUGUGGGUAACAAUGAGUAAGUCGGGACACGUGAAAUCUUGACUGAAUAUGGGGGGACCAUCCUCCAAGGCUAAAUACUCCUUACUGACCGAUAGCGAACUAGUACCGUAAGGGAAAGGUAAAAAGAACCCCGAUAAGGGGAGUGAAAUAGAACCUGAAACCGUAUGCGUACAAGCAGUCAAAGCAUUUUUUAAAAAAUGUAAUGGCGUACCUUUUGUAUAAUGGGUCAGCGACUUACUUGUUGUAGCAAGCUUAACCGUAUAGGGGAGGCGUAAGGAAACUGAGUCUGAAAUAGGCGUUUAGUUGCAACGAGUAAACCCGAAACCGGGCGAUCUAUCUAUGACCAGGGUGAAGGUCAAGUAACAUUGACUGGAGGCCCGAACCCACUACUGUUGAAAAAGUAGGGGAUGAGUUGUAGAUAGGAGUGAAAGACUAAUCAAGCUCGGAAAUAGCUGGUUCUCCUCGAAAGCUAUUUAGGUAGCGCCUCGUGUAUGACUCUUGGGGGUAGAGCACUGUUUUGGCUAAAAGGCUUCCCAGCCUGUUAAACCAAGGCAAACUCCGAAUACCAAGAAGUUUUAGCAUGGGAGACACACUACGGGUGAUAAGGUCCGUGGUGAAAAGGGAAACAGCCCAGACCGCCAGCUAAGGUCCCAAAAUUAUAGUUAAGUGAAAAACGAUGUGGGAGGUCUCAGACAGCCAGGAGGUUGGCUUAGAAGCAGCCAUCCUUUAAAGAAAGCGUAAUAGCUCACUGGUCAAGUCAUCCUGCGCGAAAGAUUUAACGGGGCUUAAACUAUAUACCGAAGCUGCGGAGCUCUUUUUUAAAGAGCUGGUAGAGGAGCGUUCUGUAAACCUGUAAAGGUAAAUUGAAAAAUUUGCUGGAGGUAUCAGAAGUGCAAAUGCUGACAUAAGUAACGAUAAUGUAGGUGAAAAACCUACACGCCGAAAGUCCAAGGUUUCCUGCGCAACGCUAAUCGGCGCAGGGUGAGUCGGCCCCUAAGGCAAAGUAGAAAUGCGUAGUCGAUGGGAAACAGGUUAAUAUUCCUGUACUUUAUAAUACUGCGAUGGGAGGACGAAGAAGGCUAGGUCAGCCACUUAAUGGUUAUAGUGGUUCAAGUACGUAGGAAAAGUUCUUUGGCAAAUCCGGGAACUCUAUUCUGAGAUAUGAUGACAAAACAUGAUUUAUUCAUGUAAAGUGACUAAUGCCACGCUUCCAGGAAAAGUCUCUAAGCUUCAGGUAUUGUAAAACCGUACCUAAACCGACACAGGUAGACAAGUAGAGAAUACUAAGGCGUUUGAGAGAACUUGGGUGAAGGAACUAGGCAAAAUGACACCGUAACUUCGGGAGAAGGUGUGCCUUUAAUAGGUGAAAGUCUUUACGACUAAAGCUGAAAAAGGUUGCAAAUACCAGGUGGCUGCGACUGUUUACUAAAAACACAGCACUCUGCAAACUCGUAAGAGGACGUAUAGGGUGUGACGCCUGCCCGGUGCCGGAAGGUUAAAUGAUGGAGUUAACUUUUGAGUAAAGCUUCAGAUUGAAGCCCCGGUAAACGGCGGCCGUAACUAUAACGGUCCUAAGGUAGAAUUGCUGCCUUAGUAAAAUCUGGCUAUAUGCUGGAAACUCCGAGUAUCCUGCAGUACUUGCUUUACCAUAAAAUUUUUUAAUUUUUAUUUAAAUUUUAUCUAAAGCAGUAAAAAUCUGACAGGUGCGGACAAUCAGCAGGAAAGACUAGUAAAAAUUAACUAGAUAAUUAGUUUUGUAAAUAUUAUUAAAUAAUUUUAAUCAAUUAUGUUAAACAUACACUCAAAAAAUUUAAAAACCCUUAAUAUUAAUAAAGUUAUUUAAUAUUAACAAAUAUAAGUAAAUAUUAAAUAUCAUAAAUAUUGUAAGUAAAUAUUAAAUUUUUUGUGAAAACAUAUAAAAAUUUUGUGAAAACUAAAAAAUUGUUUAUUUUUUAAAAAUAUUUAUUCUAAACUUCAAAAAAUUAAACUGUUUAAAAGUUAUUAAUAAAAUAUUACCCUUUUGUAAGGGUUGAUUAAGAUUACUAAAAUUAUUUACGUAAUUAGUAAUUAAGCGUUAGAAAUUAUAAUCCAAAUUUAUUAGAAUCCUCAGAGACUAUACGCCAGACAUUCAAUAAAUUUUGAAUUAAAGAUAAAUAAUUAAAUAAUUUUAAAUUUUGAAUGAAGAUAUAGUCCCGACUACAUGGCGACAUGUAGAAAAAGAAAAGUUACUUUUAAGUUAUUUAAAUUCAUUAAAUAAGUUAAGAUUUCAAGCGAAAUUCCUUGUCGGGUAAGUUCCGACCUGCACGAAUGGCGUAACGAUGGCCACGCUGUCUCCACCCAAGGCUCAGUGAAAUUGAAAUCGCUGUGAAGAUGCAGCGUACCCGCGGCUAGACGGAAAGACCCCGUGAACCUUUACUACAGCUUUACACUGAAUUUUGAAUAUACCUGUGUAGAAUAGGUGG
rnacentral:rRNA from 1 species